rnacentral:misc_RNA from 1 species
GAUGAAGAACGCAGUGAAAUGCGAUAAGUAAUGUGAAUUGCAGAAUUCAGUGAAUCAUCGAAUCUUUGAACGCACAUUGCGCCCGCCAGUAUUCUGGCGGGCAUGCCUGUUCGAGCGUCAUUACAACCCUCAGGCCCCCGGGCCUGGCGUUGGGGAUCGGCGGAGCCCCCCGUGGGCACACGCCGUCCCCCAAAUACAGUGGCGGUCCCGCCGCAGCUUCCAUCGCGUAGUAGCUAACACCUCGCGACUGGAGAGCGGCGCGGCCACGCCGUAAAACACCCAACUCUUCUGAAGUUGACCUCGAAUCAGGUAGGAAUACCCGCUGAACUUAAGCAUAUCAAUAAAGCGGAGGA